UAUAUCUCUCUCUAAAAUUCCUAAAUAUUUAUUCUCACCCCAUGUUAUUAAUAAGAAAGCCUUGUCUCAUUUUAAGUGUUUUAACCCUUGACCACUGAUACCCUGUCCGACUGACGUAGGGCCCCAUAACAUAUGUUAAGGCUCUGCCUAAAUUCGUUGGGGUUCUGUCUCGUGACGUAGGGAUAAAGUAGAAUUGGGUUACUAUAUUUAAUGUGAGUACACUAUUAAAUAACCCAGGAGUUAGACCCAAAAUAUAUCAACUCUCCUAAAACACCCCUGACACCCUACAUUUCCUAAAAUACACCCCUUAUGUGAAACCGAACCCGAAAUACAAUAUAGCAUUUAAAAUAAAUUAAAAACAAGAAAAAGUAAGUUGAGGCGGGCCGCGUAGACCCACCCCAAUCCUUACGCAGGCGGUAUGAAGGUUGAUACUUGAUUCCUUUGAUUUUCUUUAGUUCAGGCGGGCUGCAUAAGACCCUUGAUUAGUUUACGCGGGUCGCGUGAGAUCGGAAGUUGUGGUGCAGCCCGGUGAUAACACGUUUCAUCAUCGUGGCGAGUCUAGUGUUGACCCAGCAAAGCUACAGCGUUGGCCCAGGGUUGACGCGGGCCGCGUAGGCCUUCACCUACAUUUACGCGGGCCGCGAGAGGACCAGAAAUCAGCACUAUAUAAAGGAGCCAUCGGAUCUUCAGUCUGUUCGUCCCAUUUUCAAUUCUCAAUCUCAAUUUCUGAAUAUUAGGCAUUAUACACGGGCAUUAUACCCCCUAAUUAGCGAAGCUCUGCCUCGUUAUUAUAACCAGGAAGCCACAAAGGAAAUACCUAUAAUAACAAUGUAACACGAUGUGACAGCCAAAUUAGUAAAAAGCCAGCUGGAGAGCACUGACGGCUUGGAAAAAUGUGGCUAUAAAAGUUACCUAAAAUACGAUGUUUUAAAUUCAAUAAAGUAGGGUUUAUCCCUGUAAAUACGUUGUAAUAAGAAACUUGGGUUUUACCCAUGUGAUUAUUAAAAUAAAAUA